rnacentral:rRNA from 1 species
GGGUUGUGAGGUUAAGCGACUAAGCGUACACGGUGGAUGCCCUGGCAGUCAGAGGCGAUGAAGGACGUGCUAAUCUGCGAUAAGCGUCGGUAAGGUGAUAUGAACCGUUAUAACCGGCGAUUUCCGAAUGGGGAAACCCAGUGUGUUUCGACACACUAUCAUUAACUGAAUCCAUAGGUUAAUGAGGCGAACCGGGGGAACUGAAACAUCUAAGUACCCCGAGGAAAAGAAAUCAACCGAGAUUCCCCCAGUAGCGGCGAGCGAACGGGGAGGAGCCCAGAGCCUGAAUCAGUGUGUGUGUUAGUGGAAGCGUCUGGAAAGGCGCGCGAUACAGGGUGACAGCCCCGUACACAAAAAUGCACAUGCUGUGAGCUCGAUGAGUAGGGCGGGACACGUGGUAUCCUGUCUGAAUAUGGGGGGACCAUCCUCCAAGGCUAAAUACUCCUGACUGACCGAUAGUGAACCAGUACCGUGAGGGAAAGGCGAAAAGAACCCCGGCGAGGGGAGUGAAAAAGAACCUGAAACCGUGUACGUACAAGCAGUGGGAGCACGCUUAGGCGUGUGACUGCGUACCUUUUGUAUAAUGGGUCAGCGACUUAUAUUCUGUAGCAAGGUUAACCGAAUAGGGGAGCCGAAGGGAAACCGAGUCUUAACUGGGCGUUAAGUUGCAGGGUAUAGACCCGAAACCCGGUGAUCUAGCCAUGGGCAGGUUGAAGGUUGGGUAACACUAACUGGAGGACCGAACCGACUAAUGUUGAAAAAUUAGCGGAUGACUUGUGGCUGGGGGUGAAAGGCCAAUCAAACCGGGAGAUAGCUGGUUCUCCCCGAAAGCUAUUUAGGUAGCGCCUCGUGAAUUCAUCUCCGGGGUAGAGCACUGUUUUGGCAAGGGGUCAUCCCGACUUACCAACCCGAUGCAAACUGCGAAUACCGGAGAAUGUUAUCACGGGAGACACACGGCGGGUGCUAACGUCCGUCGUGAAGAGGGAAACAACCCAGACCGCCAGCUAAGGUCCCAAAGUCAUGGUUAAGUGGGAAACGAUGUGGGAAGGCCCAGACAGCCAGGAUGUUGGCUUAGAAGCAGCCAUCAUUUAAAGAAAGCGUAAUAGCUCACUGGUCGAGUCGGCCUGCGCGGAAGAUGUAACGGGGCUAAACCAUGCACCGAAGCUGCGGCAGCGACGCUUAUGCGUUGUUGGGUAGGGGAGCGUUCUGUAAGCCUGUGAAGGUGUGCUGUGAGGCAUGCUGGAGGUAUCAGAAGUGCGAAUGCUGACAUAAGUAACGAUAAAGCGGGUGAAAAGCCCGCUCGCCGGAAGACCAAGGGUUCCUGUCCAACGUUAAUCGGGGCAGGGUGAGUCGACCCUAAGGCGAGGCCGAAAGGCGUAGUCGAUGGGAAACAGGUUAAUAUUCCUGUACUUGGUGUUACUGCGAAGGGGGGACGGAGAAGGCUAUGUUGGCCGGGCGACGGUUGUCCCGGUUUAAGCGUGUAGGCUGGUUUUCCAGGCAAAUCCGGAAAAUCAAGGCUGAGGCGUGAUGACGAGGCACUACGGUGCUGAAGCAACAAAUGCCCUGCUUCCAGGAAAAGCCUCUAAGCAUCAGGUAACAUCAAAUCGUACCCCAAACCGACACAGGUGGUCAGGUAGAGAAUACCAAGGCGCUUGAGAGAACUCGGGUGAAGGAACUAGGCAAAAUGGUGCCGUAACUUCGGGAGAAGGCACGCUGAUAUGUAGGUGAAGUCCCUCGCGGAUGGAGCUGAAAUCAGUCGAAGAUACCAGCUGGCUGCAACUGUUUAUUAAAAACACAGCACUGUGCAAACACGAAAGUGGACGUAUACGGUGUGACGCCUGCCCGGUGCCGGAAGGUUAAUUGAUGGGGUUAGCGGUAACGCGAAGCUCUUGAUCGAAGCCCCGGUAAACGGCGGCCGUAACUAUAACGGUCCUAAGGUAGCGAAAUUCCUUGUCGGGUAAGUUCCGACCUGCACGAAUGGCGUAAUGAUGGCCAGGCUGUCUCCACCCGAGACUCAGUGAAAUUGAACUCGCUGUGAAGAUGCAGUGUACCCGCGGCAAGACGGAAAGACCCCGUGAACCUUUACUAUAGCUUGACACUGAACAUUGAGCCUUGAUGUGUAGGAUAGGUGGGAGGCUUUGAAGUGUGGACGCCAGUCUGCAUGGAGCCGACCUUGAAAUACCACCCUUUAAUGUUUGAUGUUCUAACGUUGGCCCCUGAUCGGGGUUGCGGACAGUGUCUGGUGGGUAGUUUGACUGGGGCGGUCUCCUCCUAAAGAGUAACGGAGGAGCACGAAGGUUGGCUAAUCCUGGUCGGACAUCAGGAGGUUAGUGCAAUGGCAUAAGCCAGCUUGACUGCGAGCGUGACGGCGCGAGCAGGUGCGAAAGCAGGUCAUAGUGAUCCGGUGGUUCUGAAUGGAAGGGCCAUCGCUCAACGGAUAAAAGGUACUCCGGGGAUAACAGGCUGAUACCGCCCAAGAGUUCAUAUCGACGGCGGUGUUUGGCACCUCGAUGUCGGCUCAUCACAUCCUGGGGCUGAAGUAGGUCCCAAGGGUAUGGCUGUUCGCCAUUUAAAGUGGUACGCGAGCUGGGUUUAGAACGUCGUGAGACAGUUCGGUCCCUAUCUGCCGUGGGCGCUGGAGAACUGAGGGGGGCUGCUCCUAGUACGAGAGGACCGGAGUGGACGCAUCACUGGUGUUCGGGUUGUCAUGCCAAUGGCACUGCCCGGUAGCUAAAUGCGGAAGAGAUAAGUGCUGAAAGCAUCUAAGCACGAAACUUGCCCCGAGAUGAGUUCUCCCUGACUCCUUGAGAGUCCUGAAGGAACGUUGAAGACGACGACGUUGAUAGGCCGGGUGUGUAAGCGCAGCGAUGCGUUGAGCUAACCGGUACUAAUGAACCGUGAGGCUUAACCUUACAACGCCGAAG